rnacentral:lncRNA from 1 species
CUUUGUGGGCUCCCCCUCCAGUACAUUCUUCUUCAAGCCAUGAUGGCAAGGACCCCAUUCUUGCUGCCUUCUCUUCUUUUCAUUCUGUGCUAUCUCCCUAGGUGAUAUCUAGUAGAAAACUCCAGCCCAGCCAGGUGCAGUGACACAUGCCUGUAACCCCAGCAACUCAGAAGGCUGAGGCGGGAGGAUCACGGAAUCCAACCUCGAAACUUAGUGAGACCCUGACUCAAAAUGAAAAAUUAAAAGGGCUAGGGAUAUAGUUCAGUGGUCAAGGGCCCCCACGUCCACAUCCCUAGUUCCAAAAAAGAAAACUCCAGCCCAGCCUGUCCUUCUGGCUUCACAUCUGCUUCUAUCCAGGUAGCUGUUCCACAUCCACCCAAAUGUCCAGUAACCUUCAGAGACAGAGCUCUUCUCUCAGCCUUCAUCCUCCCUCCCAGCAUGCUCACCUGGCUGCUCAGGCCAGAAAUCAAGCCCCUCACUCUUCCCUUUCUCUCUCUGUACACCCAGCCCCUCAGCAGGUCCUCUGGGACUCCUCCAAAAGACACCUACAGUCCAUGCCUCCUUUGCUCCUACUCCCCUCAACGAGGCCAUCCCCAUCUCCCAUUUUGACUACUGCAAUAAUUCCCUCCAUGGUCUCUCUACCUUUACUCUUGUUUCACUUCAAGCCAUUAUGAAAACAUAAGCUAGGUUUGUCACAUUUUAUUUAAAAUCUGCCAAUAGUUUUUCAGGUUAUCUAGAAUCAAAUCCAAGUUUCUUGCCACAGUUUCACAAGUUUCUGCAUGAGCCUUGUCCUUUCCUUAGAAACUGCUCUUCAGUCACACUGGCUAGUUCCUUGAACAUGGUUUCUUUGCCACCACAAGGUCUUUGCUCAUGUCCAUACCCUGAUGGGAAUGCUUUUCCCUCACUUUUUACAUGACUGACAUUUUAUCCUUUAGGUUUUAGUUUAUCUCAGAGACAUGAUAAGUGAACUACUGUAGCUAAGAAAGAGGCCCCAGCCAGCUCAGCCCCUUGUCUAGUUCACAUUGUCUUAUAUGUGGGCAGCAGCUGAGCAGCACAAGGACAUCCUGGAUGUUCAGUUUUAUUUAUUUGUCCAUUGGUUGGUUUGGGAGUUAGUUGGUUGGUUGUUUUGCAGUACUGGGGAUUGAACUCAGGGGUACUUUAACUACUGAGCUACAUCCUCAGCCAUUUUUGUUUUAUUUUAUUUUAUUUAUUUUUUAGUACUACAGAUUGAAACUAGGGGCACUUUACUAGUAAGCUACCUUUCCAACCUUUUUUUUUUUUUUCACUUUGAGACAGGGUCUCAUUAAGUUGCUGGGGCUGGCUCCAACUUGAGAUCCUCCUGCCUCAGCUUCCCAUGUUGCUAGAGUUAUAGGCAUGCACCAACAUGCCUGAUCUUUUUCCCUCUUCUUUAUUAAAACC